rnacentral:lncRNA from 1 species
UUCCUUAUUCGAUAGCUGGGUUUCCUUAAUCGCAUUCUGAGGGGUUUCGUUUUCCCACCACUUGCAUGCCACCUGCAUGUUACACAAUUCCUUCUAUGUCAUCAUAAUUUUUCCCAAGUUGCAACUUUGCUUUCUUUAAUUGGGAACAGAGGUGGACGGAAACCCUCGGACUCAUAAACAUGACAGGUUAAUGUGUUGCUUAUCACUUGAAAGUGCUAUUGAGAUGUCGUUACUAUUCAAUUCGUGAUUUACAUACUAUCUUACAACAUUCUUGGUUUAGGACACCAGGCCCACUAUGACAGAUUUAUUUUCUUGUUUUUCACAACUUGAGUCGUUAAGACAUUCUAAUAUAAUUAACAAACUUGGUUUUAAACAUUCCAAGCGGCCAAUUAAUUGAAGGAGACCUGAAGAGGUUUUCUCCAAUUUUUAGUAUUAACAAAGAAUGCCAGUUUUUAAUAUCUUUCAAGUGUACAAUACUCGAUGGAGACCUGAAGAGGUUCCUCCAAUACACCUUGUGCUUAUUAUUAACAAUAACGGUGGUCUGUGGAGUCCCCACAGUUUAAUCAGUUUAAAGAAACUCGAAAUGUGGACAUCAAGAAAUCUCCAAGUUGACUAUCUACAUCUGAAAGAAAUGUGGAGUGUCUGAGACAGUUGUGCUUGUGUAACUCAAAAAAGCCUUAUCAUCACAGCAUAAACUUUGGCAUCCUAAGAAAACCAUUUAGAAUAUGCUUCGAAAAUAUUUGAGAUUUCUUUCCUACAAAAUCCAGUUCAGCAAUGAAAUCAAGACCAUCACAAUUCUGCAAUUGUGCAGUUGGCACAAUAAUUUAUGUGAAAAGUUGCUUCAUCACUAAACACAAC